CUGUGACUUCUCCUUGUCAGA
rnacentral:miRNA from 1 species